CAGCUUCUAAGAUCCAGUUGAAGUUGCUUGCUGAAGAAAUGCAAGCAAUAAACAAAGGUCUUGAAAUUGUUGAGCAAUAUCUGUUGGCUUCCGUAAGGCUGCUGGACUAUGCUGCUGUUGCCAUGAGUGAUCGGCAUGCAAAUGGUCAUCGCAGUGUCACUCCUUCUGCUCCAUGAUAUUUGCCUUCGCUUUGGCUGCGCAUUGAGGG